GAGGAUAUAGCUCAAGUGGUAGAGCGCAUACUUAGCAAGCACAAGGUCCUAGGUUCAAUCCCUGGUACCUCCU
rfam:Camelus ferus unplaced genomic scaffold scaffold490, whole genome shotgun sequence.